rnacentral:lncRNA from 1 species
UUUUAGACAGAAGUUAACACACAAAAUUUAAUUGUUGUAGUAGUGUGCGUCUCGUCCAGGAAAUGUCGCCCGAUGCCAUGGUCUUUCUGGCAUUCAGCAUGCACUGCUUCAGGAUGAUCUUCGUCUACUGCAUCUGUGUGAAUAUGCUGGAGCUUUUGCUGCUGAGGAGGCGCAACAGCCAAUGACAAGCCAAGCCAACAAAAUAAAGAACAAUACUUUCAUUCCCUUCCUUAUUUUUUCUAUUCCUUGUCUUUGGCUGUACUAUUCUCCAAGUCUUUCUUUUAUCCAAAAAUCCCCAAAAUCAAGAUGGCAAACUUAUUUGCAUUGAAGCUGAAAAUCGAUGCGAUUUACGCAAAUUGCAUAACAUUUUGAAUAGGUUUUUCAUCACGGCAUAAAUUACGAGUACAUCGAGCGAGAAGCACGAAACGGAAACGGGGCAAACGGCAAAUGGGAAAUGGGAAAUGGGAAAUGGCAAAUGGAAAACGGAAAUUUAAAUUACCUGCAACGUAAUUACACAAAAGAAUAUGCCAAUAAAAAUGACUUAUGUAUCAAUUUCCUUUACGACACAGAAUCCCAGACAGCAGGAGGAGGAGCAGGAGAAGGAGGGGCAUAAGUACUGGAGGCUGAUACUCCUCCUACUCCUGAUGACGAUGAUGAUGAUGUGGAUGAUGAUAAUAAUAAAAGGCAACGUAGCACAAAGCGAACAA